rnacentral:rRNA from 1 species
AUUGAACGCUGGCGGCAGGCCUAACACAUGCAAGUCGAGCGAGCGGCGGACGGGUGAGUAAUGUAUGGGGAACUGCCUGUUGGAGGGGGAUAACUACUGGAAACGGUAGCUAAUACCGCCUACACUCAGAUGAACCCAUAUGGGAUUAGCUAGUGGGUGGGGUAACGGCUUACCGGGGCGACGACCCCUAGCUGGUUUGAGAGGAUGAACAGCCAAACUGGGACUGAGACACGGCCCGGACUCCGACGGGAGGCAGCAGUGGGGAAUAUUGCACAAUGGGCGAAAGCCUGAUGCAGCCAUGCCGCGUGUAUGAAGCAGGCCUUCGGGUUGUAAAGUACUUUCAGUCGGGAGGCGUUACCGACAGAAGAAGCACCGGCUAACUCCGUGCCAGCCGCCGCGGUAAUAC